GUCCUCGUAGCUCAGCUGGAUAGAGCAACCGCCUUCUAAGCGGUCGGUCGAUGGUUCGAAUCCAUUCGAGGAUACCA
rnacentral:tRNA from 1 species